GACGGAGGAUGCAAGCGUUAUCCGGAAUUAUUGGGCGUAAAGAGCUCGUAGGCGGUUUGUCGCGUCUGCUGUGAAAACUGGGGGCUCAACCCCCAGCCUGCAGUGGGUACAGGCAGACUAGAGUGCGGUAGGGGAGAUUGGAAUUCCUGGUGUAGCGGUGGAAUGCGCAGAUAUCAGGAGGAACACCGAUGGCGAAGGCAGAUCUCUGGGCCGUAACUGACGCUGAGGAGCGAAAGCAUGGGGAGCGAACAGG
rnacentral:rRNA from 1 species